GUGCUGUUUACCUGUGUGUUUGUGUAAUGUGUGUACGCAUUUUAGUGCGAGCUUAACGUCCAAAAGGAUGCCAAACCAUACCGCUGAAAAAUCGCCCCAAAACCAUCCAAACGAAGCCAGGCAUAGGAUUACUUUGUGGUGGAACGCCGCCGCGCCCCCGAGGCUCAUAUGGGCAGGCGUGUCUCUCCCUCCCGAGGACGCGCGCACGCCGCACGCGCGAGCCCGUCGUGCACGGCGAGUUCCACACGAUGGUUCCGCAGCUGCAGCUGCAGCCGCCGCGGCACAAACGGAACGGGACCAGCCGCCCUGCCCGCCCCGCCCCGCCCGGCCGUUGCAUCACGGCUCACGGCCCUCGCGCCCGGGGGUUUACGAGGAACACUCGUCGAAUACAUUGUCCAGCUGGCUCGCUCGAGUGUUCCACCAACCAGCGUACCGCGCCGCUGAGCAUUCGGGUGCGGACCGAGACUGAGGCAAUCCGAACCACUAGCGCGUGCGAUUUUAAAUCGCAAGUAGGUUGCCGCCAAGAUGGCCGCCCUACUUUCGUUUGUUAUUUCGUAACCGUGACGUCAUGGGUCACUGAUGCAAAAAAACAAGAGUAAGAAAAACACAAUAGCUCGGUAGUGUGUCAUGGCGUUCAGCUACCCCGAAAGCGACGCAGAUUUUGUUGACAAAGUUAAAACCGACUUGGGCCUCUUUGUCAAAUCCUCGCCAUUUGACAGGCAAGUAGUUACGGGUGAAUUGAGACUCGCGUUGCCUCGCGGGCUUGGCUGCAAGGUCGUAGGCUGCUCAGUGUUAUGGUUUGUUUGGAGGUUGGGUUCGCCUUGCGUCACUCGGUCGCUGUGUUGACUUGCUUUCGUGGUGAACGGCGACUGUUGUUUCUGCUCGGUAUGAUAUCAUCCCGAAUUGAAACGAGUGGUUAUUCCCUGGUCUGGUCUCCUCAGAGCGGUCCAGUGGACCAAAGCUGGCAUGACAAGCCCAGUGAGUGGAAUGGAACCAGACCAGCGGAAACGGCCCUGCGCAGUCAAGUUCACGAGUGAAACGUUUUGGUGUUUCCACCUGUGAACAGUUUUUAUAGAUUUCUCAUACAUCAGCUGGCUCAGGACAAUUUUGAUCAGCUGAGGACAUUUUCAAUUGGUGAGGAUCCUGACAGAAGGAUAGUGGUGUGUACUAAGGAUCUAGUGGCCAGGUGAGACACAAUACCAAAACUCCUAUCCUUUCUUCAUAUGUGUAAUUCUGGUGGUGGGAUGAAAUUAGGCUGUACCAUAUGCUGUAUGGUAGAAUGCAAAAAAAUAAAAAUCACAUAUGUGAAGGUCACAACUAAAGCAAGAACAAUAGAGAUUGCAACACAUCGCUUAGCUAUCAAGUCCUGUGUUCCAUGCUUUGCUCACGUGUAGUGUAAUUGUUUUUGUAAUCUAACUGGCUCUAUUUUUGUUAUACUGUAUUAGGGUAUCAAUUAUUCCUGUUGUCCUUGAAUUUUGCAUUUUCUGUAUUUAGUUAGUUAUUUCAUGCCAAAAUUUUCUGUUAAAAACUGACAUUACAUUUUUGUAAACUUGCUUACUACCAUGGUCUGGUGCAUAUAUUUUUUUGUCACAAUGUACCAUUUUGCUGUAAAUAUUGCUUCUAUAAAUCUUGUAUUUACUAGAUCUUACUCUUUAAAAAAAGA